AACAGGAAUGAGCCCAGCACUGAAUCCCGCGGUACCGCCGCUGGGAAAUGUAGUGUUCGGGAGGAUCCGUUUAUCCCGUGAUGUCGAACUGCGUCCAAGUCCAUCUUGAAUGGGGCCAUUUACCCGUAGAGGGUGCCAGGCCCGUAGUGACCGGUACGCGUUUCGGGAGGAUCUCUCCUUAGAGUCGGGUUGCUUGAGAGUGCAGCCCUAAGUGGGUGGUAAACUCCAUCUAAGGCUAAA
rnacentral:rRNA from 1 species